rnacentral:rRNA from 1 species
AUUGAACGCUGGCGGCAGGCCUAACACAUGCAAGUCGAACGAGUGGCGGACGGGUGAGUAAUGUCUGGGAAACUGCCCGAUGGAGGGGGAUAACUACUGGAAACGGUAGCUAAUACCGCAUACCAUCGGAUGUGCCCAGAUGGGAUUAGCUAGUAGGUGGGGUAACGGCUCACCUAGGCGACGAUCCCUAGCUGGUCUGAGAGGAUGACCAGCCACACGGGACAUGAGACAGGGUCCAGAGCACGAGGGGAGGCAGCAGUGGGGAAUAUUGCACAAUGGGCGCAAGCCGGAGGCAGCCAGGCCGAGUGUAUGAAGAAGGCUUUCGGGUUGUAAAGUACUUUCAGCGAGGAGGCGUUACUCGCAGAAGAAGCACCGGCUAACUCCGUGCCAGCAGCCGCUGUAAUA